UUAGAGUUUGAUCCUGGCUCAGGAUGACCUUUAGCGAUAGGCCUAACACAUGCAAGUCGAGGGGUAACAGGGGAGCUUGCUCCCGCUGACGACCGGCGGAUGGGUGAGUAACACGUAUGCAACCUACCUUUCACACGGGCAUAACCCGGAGAAAUCCGGACUAAUUUCCGAUAAUAUUUAUGAAUCACCUGGUUUAUAAAUUAAAGAUUCAUCGGUGAAAGAUGGGCAUGCGUAUGAUUAGCUAGUUGGUGUGGUAAUGGCACACCAAGGCAACGAUCAUUAGGGGUUCUGAGAGGAAGGUCCCCCACACUGGUACUGAGACACGGACCAGACUCCUACGGGAGGCAGCAGUGAGGAAUAUUGGUCAAUGGACGCAAGUCUGAACCAGCCAUGUCGCGUGCAGGAUGACUGCCCUAUGGGUUGUAAACUGCUUUUAUAUUGGAAGAAUUGCGCUUACGAGUUAAGCGUUUGACUGGUACAUUAUGAAUAAGGAUCGGCUAACUCCGUGCCAGCAGCCGCGGUAAUACGGAGGAUCCGAGCGUUAUCCGGAUUUAUUGGGUUUAAAGGGUGCGUAGGCGGAAAUGUAAGUCAGUGGUGAAAUCCUGCAGCUUAACUGUAGAAUAGCCGUUGAAACUGUGUUUCUUGAGUACAUUUGAGGUAGGCGGAAUGUGGUGUGUAGCGGUGAAAUGCAUAGAUAUACCACAGAACUCCGAUUGCGAAGGCAGCUUACUAAACUGUCUCUGACGCUGAUGCUCGAAAGCGUGGGUAUCAAACAGGAUUAGAUACCCUGGUAGUCCACGCUGUAAACGAUGAUUACUGGUUGUUUGCGAUACACUGCAAGUGACUGAGCGAAAGCAUUAAGUAAUCCACCUGGGGAGUACGUCGGCAACGAUGAAACUCAAAGGAAUUGACGGGGGCCCGCACAAGCGGAGGAACAUGUGGUUUAAUUCGAUGAUACGCGAGGAACCUUACCUGGGUUUAAAUGGGGAGUGACAGGCUUGGAAACAGGCUCUUCUUCGGACACUCUUCAAGGUGCUGCAUGGUUGUCGUCAGCUCGUGCCGUGAGGUGUCGGGUUAAGUCCCAUAACGAGCGCAACCCCUAUCGAUAGUUACCAGCACGUUACGGUGGGGACUCUAUCGAGACUGCCGGUGUAAACCGUGAGGAGGGUGGGGAUGACGUCAAAUCAGCACGGCCCUUACAUCCAGGGCUACACACGUGUUACAAUGGCCGGUACAAAGGGCAGCUACACAGCGAUGUGAUGCUAAUCUCCAAAUCCGGUCUCAGUUCGGAUCGAAGUCUGCAACCCGACUUCGUGAAGCUGGACUCGCUAGUAAUCGCGCAUCAGCCAUGGCGCGGUGAAUACGUUCCCGGGCCUUGUACACACCGCCCGUCA
rnacentral:rRNA from 1 species